AUCGCUUCUCGGCCUUUUGGCUAAGAUCAAGUGUAGUAUAUUGCAGAAUAAAAAUGUUGUUGAGCUUGUGGAUGACAUAAAUGUGGAAAUGAGAAAUAAAUUUUGGAGAGAACUCACU
rnacentral:snRNA from 1 species